CAAAACAAAGCCUAACCCAGAUGUUGACUGAAAAGAUGCAACAGAAGAUGAGAAGAAGUUACCAUCUAGAACAGUUUGAGGAGACCAAUCAAACGACACGAAAACGAGUAAAACCCGGCUUUUAAGUAACCAGUAAAAUCCUGGGGGAACCCAUGGCACCUAGAAAGAAGACAAACUAGGACCAGAAUAUAAAUGUAAAAGGAGCAUGUGUUUUUUUUAAUUAAUUGGGAUCUCCAGAUUCUGAGAAUCAUUCACAAUUACACGGCAAGAUCUGGUCUGCAUAUACGGAGCUUUUAUGUUACUAUUAUUGUUUUUUUUUUCCUUCAAUUAUCAAGGGAAAAUAACAACACGGAAAUCUUUUGAGUCUUUCAGAGCUUGGUUUGGUGGUAUCUGGUAAGGAGCAAACUGAAAAUUUUGAUCUUGGGAAGAACAUUCAAACCCCAAAUAUUAAAGCUUGGUUGGGUGGUUACGUACUGUUAAUUGUAGCCAAGUAGCAGAUUUGAGAGAGAAUCUUCCACUAACACCUAACUAUUCUUAAUGUUUCUGGCAGUAUCUUGAUCAAGGUAAAGAAGCAAUCUAUCUAUUGUCCAUGGCUUGGGUGAUACACUCACUAACAGAUCGAGGAUUUCCAACAUAUAUAGAGGCCCUUCUGUGGAUCAUUCAGUGGUAAAUGAAAGAUUUAUCCAAUUCUGUAGGUCCAAAGGACUUUCAGCUGUCAAAGUAGGACUUCAAUGAUCCAUUCUCCAGUAAACAUGCUAAACAUGCUUGAUCUGAAGAGGCAUCCUGGUCAGCGCUAGCAAUUGGUAUCUGGAAGUCGAACUACUAUUCAUACAAUUUGAGAUCAAGACGUAGUCUCCAUUUUUUUUUUUUUUCAAAAUAGAGCUUGCAAGUAUGGAAAAGCUUACAUUUUUAUGGCAUGCCAUGCCUUAAAACUUUUCAAGGAUUGAUGCUAGCUUAUCUUAAGACCUAACCCCGGUGUAGUUAUUUGUCAAUUCUACUUCGGACAAAGUUUUUUGAGGUCACACAUUUUGAUUCCCUGAGUCAGUUGUAAGCUAUUGAAAUAAUUAAAAAUCAAUAGUUUUUUUU